rnacentral:ncRNA from 1 species
AUUAAGGUGCCUUGUUGAAAGGAUAAUUGGGAAGUUUGGUGCAAAUCCAACACUGGCCCGCAGCCGUAAAAGAUGCCAACCUGUCAUACCACUGUAGCUCGCUAUGGGAAGGGACUAGGAAGAUUAAAUCUUGAGUCGGAAAACCAGCCUUGUAUGUAU